rnacentral:rRNA from 1 species
UAGUCCACGCCGUAAACGAUGAUCACUAGCUAUUGGCGAUACACAGUCAGUGGCACAGCGAAAGUGUUAAGUGAUCCACCUGGGGAGUACGUUCGCAAGAAUGAAACUCAAAGGAAUUGACGGGGGCCCGCACAAGCGGUGGAGCAUGUGGUUUAAUUCGAUGAUACGCGAGGAACCUUACCAGGGCUUAAAUGUAGUAUGACAGACUGAGAGAUCGGUUUUUCUUCGGACAUAUUACAAGGUGCUGCAUGGUUGUCGUCAGCUCGUGCCGUGAGGUGUCAGGUUAAGUCCUAUAACGAGCGCAACCCUUGUCUUUAGUUGCCAUCAUUCAGUUGGGCACUCUAAAGAGACUGCCGGUGACAAACCGGAGGAAGGUAAGGAUGACGUCAAGUCAGCAUGCCCCUUAGCCCUGGGCUACACACGUGCUACAAUGGUCGUGACAAAGGGUUGCUAAUCUGCAAAGACAUGCUAAUCUCAUAAACACGGCCU